rnacentral:rRNA from 1 species
UACGAAGGGGGCUAGCGUUGCUCGGAAUCACUGGGCGUAAAGGGUGCGUAGGCGGUUCCGUAAGUCGGAUGUGAAAACUCGGGGCUCAACCCCGAUACGCCAUCCGAUACUGCGGUGACUUGAGUCUGGUAGGGGAACACGGAAUUCCUGGUGUAGCGGUGAAAUGCGCAGAUAUCAGGAGGAACACCGAUGGCGAAUGCAGUGUUCUGGGCCAGUACUGACGCUGAGGAGCGAAAGCGUGGGGAGCGAACAGG